GAAAUGUAGUUUUCCUCCCUUCAGUUUCACCUGUCCUGCCCUGCGAUUGGCUGUGCAAGUGUGGAAGGGCUCACUGGUGCAAGGUUCUACCUAUAAAUUUAAUUCUUCCCACAAGCACUUAAUGACACCUGCUAUGGGACAGGCCCCAUGUUCGGCUUGGAGGAUUUAAAAAAGAAAGAAAAGAAAAGAAAAGAAAAGAAAAGAAAAGAAAAGAAAAGAAAAGAAAAGAAAAGAAAAGAAAAGAAAAAUGUGAUGAAUAUGGAGCACCUGGGUGGGGCUCAGUGGUUGAGCAUCUGCAUUUGGCUCAGGGCCUGAUCCCCCAGGAUCCUGCCAUCAGUCCCCUCGCAGAGAGUGAAUUUAAAAAAAAAAAAGAAAGAAAGGAAGAAAAAAAAAAGAAUAUAUGCAGAUUGUGGGAAAGACAGGUAGUUUAUGAAGCAACCCGUGGCGGCACAUUUCUACUUGCGGACACUGCAUCACUGCGUGCGCUGCUGACAGAAGAGAAAUUUCCAUUUGGACGAGUCUUAAUGAAAACCCAAUCUCUCACUGAUAGUUUCACAUGUCAGAUGAUUGGGAGAAUUUUCCGCAGAGCAGCUUCCGGGGCAGAGCCUCUCCUGAAGAGUUGCAUCAGCUUCAGGCCUUCACCUGCCAAGUUGGAGGAGCUUCACCCUUGGUUCUGGGGCAGGUGGGAAAACAGAGGCCAUACUCCUCACUUUUUUGGCUACUCCUUAGGGGAGAUUGCCUUCCCACUCAGGUUGCAUAUUCCUCAGGGGUCAGCUGUGGCUCUGCUGUGUGUCGUUUAGAUUCCCGUGGCCAGGGUGGAGGAGCUGUCCCCACGUGGAGCAUGUGGUCUCGUGUCACAGUGCAAAAAGGAUUGGCGGAUCAUGGGAAUUCCUUGAAAGCACCUGCUUGGAGUGGAAUAUGUCAUUGCCACUCACAUCUCAUUGGCCAAGUGUCACAUGACCAAGCCUAAAGCCAACGGGGGACGGGGAUGUGCUAUUCUCCAAUAGGGAGGGACUCCAAAUAUGGCUGUAUGUAUUUGGGACAACAUACGGUCUAUCUCAUUAGCCCUUUGGGAUUGAUUAGAGGCAAAGACAUUUGGAAUAUUUGCAGAAUGUUGGCUUUCAAAUACCUAUUUGUAGGGUGAAAUUAAAUCAAACAUGCCUGGCUGGCUCAGUAGGUAGAGAAUGUGACUCUUGA